rnacentral:rRNA from 1 species
UGGGGAAUAUUGCACAAUGGGGGGAACCCUGAUGCAGCCAUGCCGCGUGAAUGAAGAAGGCCUUCGGGUUGUAAAGUUCUUUCGGUGACGAGGAAGGUUGAUAGGUUAAUAGCCUAUCAAAUUGACGUUAAUCACAGAGGAAGCACCGGCUAACUCCGUGCCAGCAGCCGCGGUAAUACGGGGGGUGCGAGCGUUAAUCGGAAUAACUGGGCGUAAAGGGCACGCAGGCGGUGACUUAAGUGAGAUGUGAAAGCCCCGAGCUUAACUUGGGAAUUGCAUUUCAUACUGGGUCGCUAGAGUACUUUAGGGAGGGGUAGAAUUCCACGUGUAGCGGUGAAAUGCGUAGAGAUGUGGAGGAAUACCGAAGGCGAAGGCAGCCCCUUGGGAAUGUACUGACGCUCAUGUGCGAAAGCGUGGGGGGCAAACAGGAUUAGAUACCCUGGUAGUCCACGCUGUAAACGAUGUCGAUUUGGGGAUUGGGCUUUGAGCUUGGUGCCCGUAGCUAACGUGAUAAAUCGACCGCCUGGGGAGUACGGCCGCAAGGUUA